rnacentral:tRNA from 1 species
AGCCCGUUAGCUCAGUUGGUUAGAGCGUCGUGCUAAUAACGCGAAGGUCGUGGGUUCGAUCCCCCCACGGGCCA